AUUGAACGCUGGCGGCAGGCCUAACACAUGCAAGUCGAGCGGUAGAGGGGGCAACCCCUUGAGAGUGGCGAACGGGUGAGUAAUAUAUCGGAACGUGCCCAGUCGUGGGGAUAACGUAGCGAAAGUUACGCUAAUACCGCAUACGAUCUAAGGAUGAAAGCGGGGGACCCGCAAGAGCCUCGCGCGAUUGGAGCGGCCGAUAUCAGAUUAGGUAGUUGGUGGGGUAAAGGCUCACCAAGCCAACGAUCUGUAGCUGGUCUGAGAGGACGACCAGCCACACUGGAACUGAGACACGGUCCAGACUCCUACGGGAGGCAGCAGUGGGGAAUUUUGGACAAUGGACGCAAGUCUGAUCCAGCCAUUCCGCGUGCAGGAUGAAGGCCCUCGGGCUGUAAACUGCUUUGUACGGAACGAAAGGUUUCUAUUAAUACUAGGAGCUCAUGACGGUACCGUAAGAAUAAGCACCGGCUAACUACGUAGCCAGCAGCCGCGGUAAAGUGUA
rnacentral:rRNA from 1 species